rnacentral:rRNA from 1 species
GAUGAACGCUGGCGGCGUGCCUAAUACAUGCAAGUCGAGCGAACGGACGAGAAGCUUGCUUCUCUGAUGUUAGCGGCGGACGGGUGAGUAACACGUGGAUAACCUACCUAUAAGACUGGGAUAACUUCGGGAAACCGUAGCUAAUACCGGAUAAUAUUUUGAACCGCAUGGUUCAAAAGUGAAAGACGGUCUUGCUGUCACUUAUAGAUGGGUCCGCGCUGCAUUAGCUAGUUGGUAAGGUAACGGCUUACCAAGGCAACGAUGCAUAGCCGACCUGAGAGGGUGAUCGGCCACACUGGAACUGAGACACGGUCCAGACUCCUACGGGAGGCAGCAGUAGGGAAUCUUCCGCAAUGGGCGAAAGCCUGACGGAGCAACGCCGCGUGAGUGAUGAAGGUCUUCGGAUCGUAAAACUCUGUUAUUAGGGAAGAACAUAUGUGUAAGUAACUGUGCACAUCUUGACGGUACCUAAUCAGAAAGCCCCGGCUAACUACGUG